rnacentral:rRNA from 1 species
GACGAACGCUGGCGGCGUGCUUAACACAUGCAAGUCGAACGGAAAGGCCCUGCUUGCAGGGUACUCGAGUGGCGAACGGGUGAGUAACACGUGGGUGAUCUGCCCUGCACUUCGGGAUAAGACUGGGAAACUGGGUCUAAUACCGGGUAGGAGCCAUUUUUAGUGUGAUGGUUGGAUAGUUUUUUCGGUGUGGGAUGAGCUCGCGGCCUAUCAGCUUGUUGGUGGGGUAAUGGCCUACCAAGGCGGCGACGGGUAGCCGGCCUGAGAGGGUGGACGGCCACAAUGGGACUGGGAUACGGCCCAGACUCCUACGGGAGGCAGCAGUGGGGAAUAUUGCACAAUGGGCGCAAGCCCGAUGCAGCGACGCCGCGGGGGGGAUGACGGCCUUCGGGUUGUAAACUCCUUUCGCUAGGGACGAAGCUGUUUGUGACGGUACCUAGAUAAGAAGCACCGGCUAACUACGUG